AGAAAAGCCAGUAGUAUUUCAGACCUCAAGAUUUUAUUUAUCAACUGGUCAAAAUGAAGGGAUUGAUUGUCGUCGUGGUUUUGGUGACACUGAUGAUUUCAACUGAUGCGUUCCUGAUGCACAGCAGACAACGUUGCCUCUGUCUGAAAACACGGGACCGUGUGAAUUCCAGUAACAUAGUCCAAUCCACCGUUCAUCCGAGGAGUGCAAUGUGUGACCAUGUGGAGAUAGUGGUGCAGUUGAAAAUACCAUCAAAAUAUAUCUGCCUGAAUCCAGACUCUAAAAUGGGCAAGAGAAUACAGACUAAGUGGAACCUGAAGAACUGAGCCAAACAUGAUAACACAAACUAUGUGAUGAUGAUAUAACUGACUGUACUGACCAAAAAGUACAUGUAACUAUGUUGUCUUUCUCUGCAGUUUCAGGUAACUUUACUUGUUCCACUGACAAUGCAAUUAGAAAGUGUAUUUCAGAGCUACAGGGUAAUGCACAAAGCUCGUAACAACAUUCUAGAACAUCUCUGCUAUGACAAGGCUGUAACAACAUUCUAGAACAUCUCUGCUAUGACAAGCCUGUAACAACAUUCUAGAACAUCUCUGCUAUGACAAGCCUGUAACAACAUUCUAGGACAUCUCUGCUAUGACAAGCCUGUAACAACAUUCUAGAACAUCUCUGCUAUGACAAGCCUGUAACAACAUUCUAGAACAUCUCUGCUAUGACAAGCCUGUAACAACAUUCUAGAACAUCUCUGCUAUGACAAGCCUGUAACAACAUUCUAGAACAUGUAAUGGGAAUUGAAAUGUUUGUGCUUUUCUUAUAACUAAUUUCUGUGUUCAUGCAAGUGACUGACUGAACCAAUUCUCACUAUCAGUAUCUGCAAUUUGGCAGUACGCCCAGACCUUGUUUUGAGAAUGAAAGAUAUCUCCGUUUCAAGGUCUCAGCGCAGAGAGAAGAAGCCUCGUGAGGUAUUGGUCUGUCACAUGUUAAGAACCAGCAUUUGUCAUUCACAUGAAUGAAACAAAACGGUAAUGAUUGAUUAAUUAUGCUAAAUCAUGCACAUAUAAUUUGUCUGUGUAUAGCUGUAAGAAAACUGCUGGGACUGCCCCAGGAGAGCUCCUGAUUGACAUGUGUACUAUGGUGCAUUGAUUUGGUUGGAACUUCUCCAGCUUGCUGUCAAUAAACAAUGAUUAAUAUUAA